rnacentral:rRNA from 1 species
AUUGAACGCUGGCGGCAGGCCUAACACAUGCAAGUCGAACGGUAACAGGAAACAGCUUGCUGUUUCGCUGACGAGUGGCGGACGGGUGAGUAAUGUCUGGGAAGCUGCCUGAUGGAGGGGGAUAACUACUGGAAACGGUAGCUAAUACCGCAUAACGUCGCAAGACCAAAGAGGGGGACCUUCGGGCCUCUUGCCAUCGGAUGUGCCCAGAUGGGAUUAGCUAGUAGGUGGGGUAACGGCUCACCUAGGCGACGAACCCUAGCUGGUCUGAGAGGAUGACCAGCCACACUGGAACUGAGACACGGUCCAGACUCCUACGGGAGGCAGCAGUGGGGAAUAUUGCACAAUGGGCGCAAGCCUGAUGCAGCCAUGCCGCGUGUAUGAAGAAGGCCUUCGGGUUGUAAAGUACUUUCAGCGGGGAGGAAGGGAGUAAAGUUAAUACCUUUGCUCAUUGACGUUACCCGCAGAAGAAGCACCGGCUAACUCCGUG